AAACCUCACCCAGCCUGAACACAGAUGGGACUGACAGAUUGAGUGCUCUUUCUCAGUUACAUGGGUGGUGAUGCCUGGUCAUUCUUGAUGGAGCAAUUUGUCUGGUUAAUUCCAAAACCAGACAGAUUCUUGCAUCCUAACUAGUUAUAUGACCCCCCGCAAUGGUUAACAUCCAACUUUUUCAAGGGACAAGUGGUAGUCAGCAACAUGAGAUAGAGCAACAACAGGUCUGUGAUGUCCUUUACUGUG
rnacentral:ncRNA from 1 species